AGGGCACCACCAGGAGUGGAGCCUGCGGCUUAAUUUGACUCAACACGGGAAAACUUACCUGGUCCUGACACUAGAAGGAUUGACAGAUUGAUAGCUCUUUCUUGAUUUGGUGGAUGGUGGUGCAUGGCCGUUCUUAGUUGGUGGAGUGAUUUGUCUGGUUAAUUCCGAUAACGAACGAGACUCUAGCCUAUUAAAUAACACACAGAAUCUUGUCUUCUGUGGCGUUUCUUAAUGGGAUCAAGUGUGUUUAACGCUUUGAAACAGAGCAAUUACAGGUCUGUGAUGCCCUUAGAUGUUCGGGGCCGCACGCGCGCUACAUUGAGAGACAAAAUGAGUUUUCUAGUCUUUAAUAAGGCUAGUAAUCUUUGAAUGUUUUUCCUAAUGGGGAUAGGGGAUUGCAAUUGUGCCCCUUGAACGAGGAAUUCCCAGUAAGUGCUAGUCAUUAGCUAGUACUGAUUACGUCCCUGCCCUUUGUGCACACCGCCCGUCGCUACUACCGAUUGAAUGGUUUAGUGAGAU
rnacentral:rRNA from 1 species